rnacentral:lncRNA from 1 species
GGAGACUCAAAAUAUUUAAACUUGAAUAUGCUUCAAGGAGAGAGAGGCGUGCUUCAAGGAGAGAAAGGCAAGGCCAGUGCAUCGAAUGUUGGAAUGUUAGAAAAGAGAAACUAUGAUUAUAUUCCCUAAUUGGUGGGAACUCGGCAGCGGAAUAGAAACGGGAUCGUUCAAGGAGGAUCGAAAUAGGCUUUAGAUACCAUGUUGAAGUUGUGGGAUUUUAGAGAAAAGGAGGAGAGAAAAUAAUAAGGGUUUGAAUAUUAUUGAUAAUAG